rnacentral:rRNA from 2 species
UUUAACAUGAGAGUUUGAUCCUGGCUCAGGAUGAACGCUGGCGGCGUGCUUAACACAUGCAAGUCGAACGAAGCAAUCUAACGGAAGUUUUCGGAUGGAAGCUGGAUUGACUGAGUGGCGGACGGGUGAGUAACGCGUGGGUAACCUGCCUCACACUGGGGGACAACAGUUAGAAAUGACUGCUAAUACCGCAUAAGCGCACGGGAUCGCAUGGUCCGGUGUGAAAAACUCCGGUGGUGUGAGAUGGACCCGCGUUUGAUUAGCUAGUUGGUGGGGUAACGGCCUACCAAGGCGACGAUCAAUAGCCGACCUGAGAGGGUGACCGGCCACAUUGGGACUGAGACACGGCCCAAACUCCUACGGGAGGCAGCAGUGGGGAAUAUUGCACAAUGGGGGAAACCCUGAUGCAGCGACGCCGCGUGAGUGAAGAAGUAUUUCGGUAUGUAAAGCUCUAUCAGCAGGGAAGAAAAUGACGGUACCUGACUAAGAAGCCCCGGCUAACUACGUGCCAGCAGCC